CCCAAACACCUGUGGAACAUGGUUUUUUUGCUUCAGCUUGCUCUGGGUGCAGGCACUUUUACUGUGUGCUACUCCGUGUUCCCUCAAAGCAGCUCCCUCUAGCUCCUUGGGCUUCCCUGAGCUUCAGAUCUCAUCCCCAGCCGCUGUGAGGAGGUGCAGGUGCCACCUGACUCUAUCCCAGGAUCCAACCAACACCUAGCUGAGCCUGCUCCUGGAAUCUAAGGGAUGCUUUUGCUGUUUGUAUCAGGAAAAAAAAGUCUAAAGCAGAGAUGAUUGUGGCCCUGGACCGUUUGAAAAACUCAGGAAUAGCUUGAUGGGUCACAGCUGGAGAGACAGUGUCCCUGGAACACACAACAGACACAAUGCAUGGGAUAAUGUUUUAAAAGGAAUGCAAAUUCCCUAUCAGUGCACAACUCCUCAGGUGUUGGGCUCCAGGGUCUCUUUCACCGUCAUGUGGAAAUUUGUACCUCAGUGUUCCUAUGUGCCAAGUGCAUCUGAUAUUUGUGGAGGACUUUGGAAGUGUCUUAGCCUUCAGUCCAGUAAAACUUUUAAUCUGCACCAUGUGUCUAUUAAACAGGAGUGGUAAAGAGCAACAGGUGGCCCAAACCUAGAAAUUAGCAAAUUUCAAUUUGCAUUUUGGAGGCGUAUGAACUACAUCUGUGUAGUCUCUAGAAACACAGAGAGGGACCGUGCUGACAGAUCUUUAUCCUACGUGUCUGCACAUGCUUUUCUGAGGAAAAAAGCACACAAAACCAGACCAGAGCCAAGGCGCAGAGGUAGCGAAACAGAAAAACGAGUGGCUUGGCCCCAUCGUUUGCACCGUGGUCCGCGUGAACGCAUUAGACAAGAAUUCCUUGUGUGUGUGAGGAGAUAACAGAUCCACAUUAAUUUCAGAGCUGAUUGCCAUUCUUUAUUAAUAGAAAUGUAAUGCGGUGCCAACGCCAAGCCCUGCCAGCCUUUCCUUUUUAUCUCCUUUUUCAAACAUAGACAGCAUGGAAAGCCUGAUCGGAGGAUCCCCCCAAUCCCUGUUUAUUUCACAGCUUGUGAAGCUGAGGGACAGUAAUGGCACCUUACCAUGGCUGAGGUGUCAGCUAAUACUGUCAAUAUCACCUGGAAAUUUUUUUGGAGGCUGAAAAUAAUUUCUGUGGAAUAAUGCUAAUUUAAUAUAGUUUUGUAAAUUGAACAGAAUUGAAUGAGUGACAGUAGAUUUGUGAAUAAUUUGCAAAUUGAAGCAGUGAUAAAAUUUGUCAAAUAAUGUGUUCUCUAUUAAUAGUUUGCCCUGCUCUAUGUACUGCUGAGCAGUCUUGGUUCUCUUGUUUUUUUUUUUUUUUAGAGGAAAAGAUGGAAUAAAUAUUCUUACUAUUUUUGUUGUUUUCAAGCACUAUUUUUUUUCUUUUUCUUUUUCUUCCCCUUCCCUCUUCCAAGAGCCAUUGUUUACUUUUGAAGUAGAUGAAAGAUGAAUUCAGGUUACGUUCUGACAUUACAAUGAAAUUGUCAAUAGAAAUCAAUGCCUUGUCAGAUGAUGAGUUAGGGGCUAUAACACAGCCUAACAGUGUCCCU